ACUAAAAUACUAAUAUCUAACUUGUAAUCAAAAUUAUCCAAGAUGUCUGAUAAAUUCUACGAUAAUCUCUGGCUGGAAACCAAAGAAAAAAUCAAGCAAGUCAUAAACCAGGACAUGAAGGUGCAAAAAAAUCCAGAAUCGGAAGAAACUUUGAAGCAGAUGAUUCUGGUAUUUUUCAGGUAUCGCCGAAUAGUAUCUUCACUACUUCAAUGUUUCUUCCAAACCAUCCCCCGCAAAAAGCUUGAAGUGAUUGAGAAAUUCCUAGGCUGCUCGAUCGCCCGGAUGCUGGAAUACAAGACCCAACUUAGGAAAUACGAGUGGGUUUGCUGGAAUUCAACUCAUUAAAUUACUCAACAAUUAGCGUCAACGUGGGUUAUUUGUGCAGGUGGCCAGGAGACUUGCUAAUCGAAAUGAAGCUCACACCCGAUGAUAUUGACAUACCA
rnacentral:misc_RNA from 1 species